GGGCCGGCUCUGCGACAGGGGGCGCCAGGAUCCUAGAGGACGCUGCGCACCCUGAAUUAAUCGAGGAGCCUCUAAAGUUCUCCAGAAGCAACUAGAACUCCUGGGACCAUUAUAGCGAUGCGAAUGCCACAGGUGGGGGUUGGGUAAGAAGGGGCCUCAGGAUGGGAGACACCCCCUCCAGCGCUACAGUCCCCCUUAUGGGUGGAGCCCCCCGAUGGUGCACGCGUGGAAAUCCUCUGGUCCCUUAGGGCCUCCAGUCACGCCACCCACACCCCACCAGGCAGGCGAGGGUAGCCCCCUGCACCCUGCUUCUCUCUGCACUGCUCCCCGUUAAGUUCUCUGAGGAGGAAAAAAAAAAAAGCAAACAAAUUCUCCCGGGAGGAGAAACCUUGAGUCUAAUUAGCGUUUAGGCUUCUCAUUGAGAAAUCCUUUCUCACAUUCUUCCCGGCCAGCGUUGAUGGAGGGAGAGAUGGCACCUAGGAUUUGGGCAGAUGGGGUUCAGGGGGAGCAGUGAGCAAGGGAGAGGGACACUCCACCUUUGGUUGAGGCCCCCUCUGCACAGGUGGUUGGCUUCCCCUCUCAGACCAGCAGGAGGGAAUUUAACCAUCUGGGUCAGACCUCCUGGAGGGGAGACAGAUUGUGCUUCUCCUGAUGCCCCUGGACUCCCGGCCCUAUUGCUGGGUUCUUUGAAGCCUGGACCCUGACUGCUGGUCUGUGUUGCCCCCAGGCACGCCCUCUCCUGUGAAGGUGCUGAGUCAGGCCAGGCCCUCAGGCCCCUGCCUGGCCCAGCCAGCCCGCUGCUGCCCCCCUGCGGCCCUGCAGAGAAAGCUGCCCAUCCCCGCCUGGCUGUCCCACUACUCUGUGCAGUGGCUGAAGAUGGACUUUAUCGCCAGUACGGCCUCUGCUCUGCCUUCAUGGGUGUAUUUCUUCCUGGGAACCUCCCGGGAUGUGACUCUGGGCCCCACGGCCAUCAUGUCCCUCCUGGUCUCCUUCUGCACCUUCCGUGAGCCCGCCUGUGCUGUGCUGCUGGCCUUCCUGUGGGGCUGCAUGCAGUUAGCCAUGGGCUCCUGCGCUUGGGCAUCUGUCACUUCCGGAAUCCACUCCAACCAGGAGGAGGAGAGUCACUCCAAGGCGUAUGCAAUGGAAUCUUCAGGAGUUUUUAGUGUUAAAACUGGAAAUUUCAAAGAUUCAAUUCUUGACGAUUG